CUGAACGGGAGCUGCAGGCGCGCACGCCAGCGCCACCGAGGGAGCGCGGGGAGUCCUCUUCUCCCAGAGGACCGACGCUGCGGGGACGCGCCAAAACCACCCGCGGGCGAUCCCAGGGGGCUGGCGCCACUGAAACCUCCGCAGGCAACUCCGCGGCUACCGCUGCCCCCCACCCUACUCCUGCCUCUUACCCCCAAGGCACCAUUUCUCCCCCUCAACUCCCUGCCCCUCGGCCCAAGCGCUUCGGUGGGAAACAACGCCCACUUUGGAGAAUCAGAGGCAUCCCAAAGACAUCACUCAGGACACUAAUCAAGGAAGUGGAUUAUUAGAAGACAUUAGAACGCUCACUGAGUCUUUGGAAAAAGUGAAGAAACAGGCUCUGGAGUGAGCUUCCACAGUCCGCAGAACCUCAAUGCAGAACUGGCAGGGAAGGAAAUGGCUGUUCCUCACGAUUCCAAAACCAUGUUGGUUUUCCCACCAUCUGUGCCUGCAGAAUUGAUGUCCUGCACCCCACCUGCUUCCUCAUAUGCAUCACUUCUGUAUCUGCAUCUCUGUAUGUGCAUCUGAUUAGCAGAACCCAAGUCACAUGACUGCACCCUGGCGGCAAAGAAACUGAGAAAUGUGGGAGCUUUGCAUGCUAUCUUGGGAAGAUGGGAUUCACACCACGGGGAACCAUCAUAAUGUAGAAGGAGUAUUAAAAGAUUUGGCUAACAGGGUAAACCAAAAUGAUUUGACUUUAAAAGGCUCCAACCCUUGAUUAAUUGUACCAAUCUGCCCCUAGCAUAAUGUUUUCAGCCAUCAGGUAGAUGUGGGCCUGAGCAUCAGCUUCAGCAUGCCUGCUCCAAACAUUAGAGUCAUUUCUCCACUAAAUAUCUCAUCAGGG
rnacentral:lncRNA from 1 species